GGAGGAGGUAAGAAUAUGGUUGCUGUCUGUCACCCCAUUAACCAGCAGGGUUCAUCUGGCUGAUUUGACGAGCUAGGCAGUUGCCCUCUUCCUCUGUCACACACUGUAUGUGUGUCCCUAAUAUAGCAGACUGUUCUUCAGCCAAUGUUAUUUGAAUAGCUGUCUUCCCUGAUAGACCCUUGAACAAGCUCUUACAUGGAAGUAAAUAGAUAGCAAAUAUAAUAUGAAGAGACAGACAGUAAAGUAGGCAGGGACCUAUAAAUGUGGCUGUCUUCUAUUAGCAGUUCACCACUCUUU
rnacentral:snRNA from 1 species